UAAUUAACUAAUCAAUUGACUUAUCUCCUGGCCUCGUCUAGCUUGUGAUAACUUCCUAGGAUUGUCAUCUUAAUGGUUUAAGCACACAUAAUCUAUACUAACUAACCCUCUUGAGAAAACCUUAAACCCUAAUAGAUUAAGUGGCAUCUUUAUAUUGACAAAUCUCACAUAUGUGCUAGAAUAUGACUAAAAUUUAAAAGUAAAAUAAAAUCACACCGAAUUUAAAAAAAAAAAGAGAGAUAAACUUGACAAAACAAAGACUAAAAAAAAAUACAGAC
rnacentral:lncRNA from 1 species